rnacentral:rRNA from 1 species
GACGAACGCUGGCGGCGUGCUUAACACAUGCAAGUCGAACGGUGAAGCGCCUUCCUUUUUGGUGGGUGUGGAUGAGUGGCGAACGGGUGAGUAACACGUGAGUAACCUGCCCCCUUCUUCUGGAUAACCGCAUGAAAGUGUGGCUAAUACGGGAUAUUCUGGGUCUGUCGCAUGAUGGGUCUGGGAAAGAUAUUGUUUCGGUGGGGGAUGGGCUCGCGGCCUAUCAGCUUGUUGGUGGGGUGAGGGCCUCCCAAGGCGGUGGCGGGUAGCCGGCCUGAGAGGGUGGAAGGUCUCACUGGGGCGGAGGCACGGCCAAGACUCCUACGGGAGGCAGCCGUGGGGAAUAUUGGACGCUGGGGGCAAGCCUGAUGCAGCGACGCCGCGUGAGGGAUGGAGGCCUUCGGGUUGUGAACCUCUUUCGCCAGUGAAGCAGGCCUGCCUCGUUUGUGGGUGGGUUGACGGUAGCUGGAGAAGAAGCGCCGGCUAACUACGUG